UACGUAGGGUGCGAGCGUUAAUCGGAAUUACUGGGCGUAAAGCGUGCGCAGGCGGUUAUGUAAGACAGAUGUGAAAUCCCCGGGCUCAACCUGGGAACUGCAUUUGUGACUGCAUGGCUAGAGUACGGUAGAGGGGGAUGGAAUUCCGCGUGUAGCAGUGAAAUGCGUAGAUAUGCGGAGGAACACCGAUGGCGAAGGCAAUCCCCUGGACUUGUACUGACGCUCAUGCACGAAAGCGUGGGGAGCAAACAGG
rnacentral:rRNA from 1 species